rnacentral:rRNA from 1 species
CCCUUAGAUGUUCUGGGCUGCACACGUGCUACACUGGCAGGUUCAGCGAGCUUCAUGCCCUGAUCUGAAAGGAAUGGGAAAUCUUUUCAAAACCUGCCGUGCUUGGGAUAGAUGUUUGCAAUUAUUCAUCUUCAACGAGGAUUGCCUUGUAAGCGCACGUCAUCAGCGUGCAUUGAAUACGACCCUGUAUUCUGUACACACCGCCCGUCGCUCCUACCGAUUGAAGUUUUCGGUGAGUUGACAGGGGGAUUUUUUUGAAACUGGUUCGCCAGUGGAUUUUAGAUCCAAAUGCCAACGAAUCGAUGGCUUUAGAGGAAGGAGAAGUCGUAACA